rnacentral:lncRNA from 1 species
UCCAAUCGACCCUACCAUAAAAUAACGUUUUUGAUGUUGAAGUGUGUUAGGAUAGGGAAUCCCGUAUAGUGUAGAAUUAAACAAAGUAAUCAAUUAAAGACAAUAGCAAAGACAAUAAUAACUAUAAGUUGAGGAAACAAAGGAGGCACAAAUUUAACGUAGUUCGGUCAACUUGACCUACAUCCACUACCAAAAGGAGGAGCAAUUUUACUAAAUAUAAUGGAAUAAGAAAGAGUACAAGGGAAUAAAAGAGAAUACAAAAUUAGAAUAAUUAAAUAAUCUCAUAUCUCAAAUAUCCCAAUGGAAUAGCAUCACGAGAUCACUCUUAAAAAGGGUUCACCAAAGUUUUUUCCAACACAACUUUCUCUUAAAUACUCUCUAAAAAAAAGCAACAACUAAGAUUCUAUAAAAUUGGUGUGUCUAUGGUGAAAGAAACACUUCUAUUUAUAGCAGAAAAGUUCUUGUUGUCCAAGUAUUUGAUGUCAUGGAUGAUGUCAAUCAAACUUUGGCCCCAAAUAAAAUCUCUUGGUAAAGAUUUCCAACAAAAUAUCAUGAGAUUUUUAUAAAAAAUAUGAAGAAAUUUUUCAAUAAUAUAUUGUCCAAGAUAUGGCAACAUUACAAAGUGAAAUGAAAUAUGAUUAUUGAUGCAGUAGUAUAACAUCGUAUUUUGCCUGAUGUUGUGAGUAGCUGUAUUCUAAUUCUCUCCUUGGUCAUAUCAGUAUCGCAAGCUUGAAGACCUGGGGUGAAGUAACAUUAUUUGAAGAUACGGGUUCAACAAAAUUCAGUAGCUUAAGCUUAAAGCUUGUUAUAUUAAGAAAUUUUGUUAACAUAUAUAAUUAAUGUAUCUCAAAUCCACUAAGCAAAAAAGGCUUGCCAUUUAGUAUUCAUCAUGAAUCACCCAAUUAUUGGAUAAGCAUUCUCUUUGAUCCUCAAUCGUAUCUCUUCUAUCAAACCGUGAGUUUUGG